rnacentral:rRNA from 1 species
CCGCGAAUUGCCCUUCGGGGUGCAGCAGGCGCGAAAACUUUGCAAUAAGCGAAAGCUUGACAGGGCUAUCCCGAGUGCCAUCCGCUGAGGAAGGCUUUUACCCAGUCUAGAACGCUGGGGGAAUAAGGAGAGGGCAAGUCUGGUGUCAGCCGCCGCGGUAAUACCAGCUCUCCGAGUGGUGUGGAUGUUUAUUGGGCCUAAAGCAUCCGUAGCUGGCUAGGUUAGUCCCCUGUUAAAUCCACCGAAUUAAUCGUUGGAUUGCGGGGGAUACUGCUUGGCUAGGGGACGAGAGAGGCAGACGGUAUUUCCGGGGUAGGGGUGAAAUCCUAUAAUCCCGGGAAGACCACCAGUGGCGAAGGCUGUCUGCUAGAACGCGCCCGACGGUGAGGGAUGAAAGCUGGGGGAGCGAACCGGAUUAGAUACCCGGGUAGUCCCAGCUGUAAACGAUGCAGACUAGGUGUUUGGACGGCCACGUGCCGUUCUAGUGCCGCAGGGAAGCUGUUAAGUCUGCCGCCUGGGGAGUACGAUCGCAAGAUUGAAACUUAAAGGAAUUGGCGGGGGAGCAC